GUGGGGAAUAUUGGACAAUGGGCGAAAGCCUGAUCCAGCCAUGCCGCGUGUGUGAAGAAGGUCUUCGGAUUGUAAAGCACUUUAAGUUGGGAGGAAGGGCAGUAAGUUAAUACCUUGCUGUUUUGACGUUACCGACAGAAUAAGCACCGGCUAACUUCGUGCCAGCAGCCGCGGUAAUACGAAGGGUGCAAGCGUUAAUCGGAAUUACUGGGCGUAAAGCGCGCGUAGGUGGUUUUGUAAGUUGGAGGUGAAAUCCCCGGGCUCAACCUGGGAACUGCAUCCAAAACUGCAUGACUAGAGUACGGUAGAGGGUAGUGGAAUUUCCUGUGUAGCGGUGAAAUGCGUAGAUAUAGGAAGGAACACCAGUGGCGAAGGCGACUACCUGGACUGAUACUGACACUGAGGUGAGAAAGCGUGGGGAGCAAACAGGAUUAGAAACCCCAGUAGUCC
rnacentral:rRNA from 1 species